rnacentral:rRNA from 1 species
CGGAAGGAUCAUUACAGUGACAUAUAACACACACACAUUGCGUGAGCGCACAACACACAACGAAACAUGAAUAACAAACCAGUCUAGAAAAACGAAACAAAUAAAACUUUCAACAACGGAUCUCUUGGUUCUCGCAUCGAUGAAGAGCGCAGCGAAAUGCGAUACGUAGUGUGAAUUGCAGACAUCGUGAAUCAUCGAGUUCUUGAACGCACAUUGCGCCCCUUGGUAUUCCGGGGGGCAUGCCUGUCUGAGCGUCGUUUCCGUCUUGUGAAAACAGGAUUGGUGUUGCGAAGGUUAAAAACUUUGCAGUGCUGAAAGCGAUGGAAAAAUAAGCUAAGCAAGCGAGUGGACGAAAGCCCUACACGCGCUGGUUAUAAAACGAAGCUCGACCUCAGAUCAGGUAGGAGUACCCGCUGAACUUAAGCAUAUCAAAAGCCCGGAGGAAAAAUGUGGUCAUUCGCGACAUAUAACACACACACAUUGCGUGAGCGCAC